rnacentral:rRNA from 1 species
GGAAGAUCCAAGCGUUAUCCGGAAUUACUGGGCGUAAAGAGUUGCGUAGGUGGCAAAGUAAGCAGACAGUGAAAGCGUGUGGCUCAACCAUACACACAUUGCCUGAACUGCUUAGCUAGAGAGCGAGAGAGGUAGUUGGAAUUCCCUGUGUAGGAGUGAAAUCCGUAGAUAUAGGGAGGAACACCGAUGGCGUAGGCAGACUACUGGCUCGUCUCUGACACUAAGGCACGAAAGCGUGGGGAGCAAACGGGAUUAGAUACCCCGGUAGUUCACGCCGUAAACUAUGGAUGCUAGCUGUUAGCCGUAUCGACCCGGCUAGUAGCGAAGCUAACGCGUUAAGCAUCCCGCCUGUGGAGUACGGUCGCAAGACUA